AUUUUAGGUUAGAAUAUGUUAAAAUACAAUGAAUUUGAUUGAUUACAAGUGCUAGAGAUGCAUGAAGAAUGCUAAGAAGUGAGAAGAAAGACUUGUUGAAAUUUGGUCUCAAAUGGGAUAAGAACCCAAAACCAUUGCUUUGAGGCAAUGAAUGGCUUGUAUAAAGUUAUUUUGGAUUAGAAUAUCUUAUAAUACAAUGAAUUUGAUUGAUUACAAGUGCUAGAGAUGCAUGAAGAAUGUUUAGAAGUGAGAAGAAAGACUUGUUGAAAUUUGGUCUCAAAUGGGAUAAGAACCUAUAACCAUUGCUUUGAGGCAAAGAAUGGAUUGGAUAAAGUUAUUUUGGGAUAAUAUGUUAUAAUACAAUGAAUUUGAUUGAUUACAAGUGCUAGAGAUGCAUGAAGAAUGUUUAGAAGUGUGAAGAAAGACUUGUUGAAAUUUGGUCUCAAAUGGGAUAAGAACCCAAAACCAUUUCUUUGAGGCAGUGAAUGGCUUGUAUAAAUUUAUUUU
rnacentral:lncRNA from 1 species